UUUUAUUUUCAUUUCCAGGGUACAAGUUGAAUUCUAUAUGAAUGAAAACACUUUUAAAGAGAGACUAAAGUUAUUUUUCAUUAAAAACCAGAGAUCAAGUCUACGAAUACGCCUGUUCAAUUUUUCUCUCAAAUUAUUAAGCUGCUU
rnacentral:lncRNA from 1 species